rnacentral:rRNA from 1 species
GACGAACGCUGGCGGCGCGCUUAACACAUGCAAGUCGAACGGAAAGGCCUGCUUUCCCUUGUGGAUUGCGGGUACUCGAGUGGCGAACGGGUGAGUAACACGUGAGUGAUCUGCCCCCAACUUGGGUAUAAGCCUGGGAAACUGGGUCUAAUUCCCGAUAGGACUGCAGGGUGGUGCCUGUGGUGGCAAACGAUUUUCUAGUGGUUGGGGAUGAGCUCGCGGCCUAUCAGCUUGUUGGUGGGGUAAUGGCCUACCAAGGCGGCGACGGGUAGCCGGCCUGGGAGGGUGGACGGCCACAGUGGGACUGAGAUACGGCCCAGACGCCUACGGGAGGAAGCAGUGGGGAAGAUGGCACGAUGGGCGGAAGCCUGAGGCAGCGACGCCGCGUGGGGGAUGACGGCCUUCGGGUUGUAAACUCCUUUCGACCGCGAGGAAGCCACCUGGUUGGAAGGGUGGUGACGGUAGUGGUAGAAGAAGCACCGGCUAACUACGUG